UUUAGCCUAGAGCAUUCGUUAAGGAUUCAUAAUUGAACCUACACUUUAACAUCGGGAAUCCGAGUUCAUUCGGCCUAUGUCAAGCCGCCAACUAGAGUGGAAGACAGAAGUCGGUGACAGGGUACCCACCUAUCAUUAUGAUAGGGCGUCAAUUAUAUCCUGACGGUGCAUCUGGGUUUUUA
rnacentral:other from 1 species